UCAGUACAAACAGCCAUAGCAGAAGCAAUCAUAAUGUGGGCCCUGUCAGAUGCCAAUGAAUCCGUGAAUUCUGCU
rnacentral:lncRNA from 1 species